rnacentral:rRNA from 1 species
UACGAGUGCCUCAAGCGUUAUCCGGAAUUAUUGGGCGUAAAGGAUGUGUAGGUGGUUGUGUUAGUCUCUUGUCAAAUUCUUCGGCUUAACCGGGGGUCCGCAAGGGAAACGGCACGACUAGAGGAUGCGAGGGGUCUGUGGAACUCAUAGUGUAGCGGUGAAAUGCGUUGAUAUUAUGGGGAACACCAAAAGCGAAGGCAGCAGACUGGAGCACUCCUGACACUGAAACAUGAAAGCGUGGGUCGCGAAUGGG